rnacentral:rRNA from 2 species
CUAUCAUGCAAGUCGAGCGACUGAUUAGAAGCUUGCUUCUAUGACGUUAGCGGCGGACGGGUGAGUAACACGUGGGCAACCUGCCUGUAAGACUGGGAUAACUUCGGGAAACCGAAGCUAAUACCGGAUAGGAUCUUCUCCUUCAUGGGAGAUGAUUGAAAGAUGGUUUCGGCUAUCACUUACAGAUGGGCCCGCGGUGCAUUAGCUAGUUGGUGAGGUAACGGCUCACCAAGGCAACGAUGCAUAGCCGACCUGAGAGGGUGAUCGGCCACACUGGGACUGAGACACGGCCCAGACUCCUACGGGAGGCAGCAGUAGGGAAUCUUCCGCAAUGGACGAAAGUCUGACGGAGCAACGCCGCGUGAGUGAUGAAGGCU